UGUAAAGAAGCGAGCUGCUCUUUCAAGGUCCUUCAGCAAGGAGUCCUUCCUCACCGGCUCGUCUGUCCCCGAGACUUCCAAAUCUAGCUGCUCCACCCUGACCAGGGACAACAGCUUCUCAGUAGAUGACAGGCCAGUGGAUCCAGAUGAAACUCCGUCUGAAGCUCCAGCUGUUGAGCUUCCUCCUCCUCCUCCUCCCAUCACCAUCCCAGAGUGCCUCCCACCAAAACAACUGGCCACCAGAAAGAUACACAAGAAAAACUCCCCUCCAGAUACUUUGCGACAGAGACACAAGGGCAAAGCAGCGUCAUCAAAGAAAAGAGCAGACAAGGACAAAAAGAGCGCAAAUAUUUACCAACGGCUUUCUGUGAGCACGUGUGGAUCUGUGUGGAGACAUCGUCCUCUGGCUCACUGGUUGUAUCGCUGUCGCUGGGCGCUCCUCUGUGUGUACCUGUUAGUGUUUUUCUGUGUCAUAAUAUUGACUUUCUUCUUGUGGAAGCAUCAUGAUGAAGCAU